CUCUCUCUCUCUCUCUCUCUCUCUCUCUCUCUCAAAGAGAGAAGGAGAAGGAGAGAAAGGGGUGGGGAAUAUAGGGGGUGGAGUGGAGUGAGGAGGAUUCGGGCGGUCAGACGUCACAUGCUUCGCUUCUAAAAAAGAAAGGGAAAAGGGAGGGAGAGAGGAGGUCCCGGUUUCCCCUUCUUGAAGUAAGCAAUGUGGUUAUUUUUUCGGAGAGAGACGCCGGCGGCGAAGAAGAGAUCACGGGAGGAAGGAAGGAGCGAGGACGGGAGGAGGGGCGGUUUUAUGGGGGGAAUAUUUUGGGACGGAGGAUGAAAAAAAAUUUGGGGGAGUCGACGCAGGGAAUCGAUUGGGAGAGAGCGCUGUGGGGGGGAUCGGACAGCGGCUGAGGGCCGACGAGUGGGGUGACGUGGCGGACAGUGGAGCCAGCGUGGAGAAACUUGGUAGCGUGGAAAUUACUGAUGGAGCCCAACAACGGCACCCUCGGCUCUUCUGGCACCAAUUAAUUGCUUAUCUUG
rnacentral:lncRNA from 1 species